ACUCCUACGGGAGGCAGCAGUGGGGAAUAUUGCACAAUGGGGGAAACCCUGAUGCAGCCAUGCCGCGUGUGUGAAAAGGCCUUCGGGUUGUAAAGCACUUUCAGUAGGGAGGAAGGUAGUGGUAGUUAACACCUGCAUUAUUUGAUCGUUAUCCUACAGAAAGAAAGCACCGGCUAACUCCGUGCCAGCAGCCGCGGUAAUACGGAGGGUGCGAGCGUUAAUCGGAAUUACUGGGCGUAAAGCGCAUGCAGGCGGCCUUGUU
rnacentral:rRNA from 1 species